AUUGAACGCUGGCGGCAGGCUUAACACAUGCAAGUCGAACGCCCCGCUAGGGGAGUGGCAGACGGGUGAGUAACGCGUGGGAAUCUACCCAGUUCUACGGAACAACUGAGGGAAACUUCAGCUAAUACCGUAUACGCCCUACGGGGGAAAGAUUUAUCGGAAUUGGAUGAGCCCGCGUUGGAUUAGCUAGUUGGUGGGGUAAUGGCCUACCAAGGCGACGAUCCAUAGCUGGUCUGAGAGGAUGAUCAGCCACACUGGGACUGAGACACGGCCCAGACUCCUACGGGAGGCAGCAGUGGGGAAUAUUGGACAAUGGGCGAAAGCCUGAUCCAGCCAUGCCGCGUGAGUGAUGAAGGCCUUAGGGUUGUAAAGCUCUUUCAGUGGGGACGAUAAUGACGGUACCCACAGAAGAAGCCCCGGCUAACUUCGUGCCAGCCGCCGCCGUAAAAC
rnacentral:rRNA from 1 species